GAUCCUGGCUCAGGAUGAACGCUGGCGGCGUGCCUAACACAUGCAAGUCGAACGGACUUACAUUGAAGCCUAGCGAUAUGUAAGUUAGUGGCGGACGGGUGAGUAACGCGUGGGGUAACCUGCCUUGUACUGGGGGACAACAGUUGGAAACGACUGCUAAUACCGCAUAAGCGCACAGCUUCGCAUGAAGCGGUGUGAAAACUACCGUGGUACGAAGAAUGGACCCGCCGUCCUGAUA
rnacentral:rRNA from 1 species